rnacentral:rRNA from 1 species
CCUACGGGUGGCAGCAGUCGAGAAUAAUUCACAAUGGAGGCAACCCUGAUGGUGCGACGCCGCGUGGGGGAAUGAAGGUCUUCGGAUUGUAAACCCCUGUCAUGUGGGAGCAAAUUAAAAAGAUAGUACCCCAAGAGGAAGAGACGGCUAACUCUGUGCCCGCAGCCGCGGUAAUACAGAGCUCUCAAGCGUUGUUCGGAAUCACUGGGCGUAAAGCGUGCGUAGGCUGUUUCGUAAGUCGUGUGUGAAAGACGCGGGCUCAACCCGCGGACGGCACAUGAUACUGCGUGCCUAGAGUAAUGGAGGGGGAACCGGAAUUCUCGGUGUAGCAGUGAAAUGCGUAGAUAUCGAGAGGAACACUCGUGGCGAAGGCGGGUGCCUGGACAUUAACUGACGCUGAGGCACGAAGGCCAGGGGAGCGAAAGGGAUUGGAUACCCCUGUAGUC